rnacentral:rRNA from 1 species
UACGGAGGGUGCGAGCGUUGUCCGGAAUCAUUGGGCGUAAAGCGCGUGUAGGCGGCCCGGUAAGUCCGCUGUGAAAGUCGGGGGCUCAACCCUGGAAUGCCGGUGGAUACUGUCGGGCUCGAGUUCGGAAGAGGUGAGUGGAAUUCCUGGUGUAGCGGUGAAAUGCGCAGAUAUCAGGAGGAACACCAAUGGCGAAGGCAGCACUCUGGGACGUGACUGACGCUGAGACGCGAAAAGCGUGGGGAGCAAACAGG